GCCCAGGUGGUGAAAUGGCAUACACGCUAGCUUGAGGUGCUAGUGCUCGCAAGGGCGUGCAGGUUCAACUCCUGUUCUGGGCA
rnacentral:tRNA from 1 species